rnacentral:rRNA from 1 species
UUAAAUUGAAGAGUUUGAUCAUGGCUCAGAUUGAACGCUGGCGGCAGGCUUAACACAUGCAAGUCGAACGGUAACAUGAGUGCUUGCACUUGAUGACGAGUGGCGGACGGGUGAGUAAAGUAUGGGGAUCUGCCGAAUGGAGGGGGACAACAGUUGGAAACGACUGCUAAUACCGCAUAAUGUUGAGAGACCAAAGCAUGGGACCUUCGGGCCAUGCGCCAUUUGAUGAACCCAUAUGGGAUUAGCUAGUUGGUGGGGUAAGGGCUCACCAAGGCGACGAUCUCUAGCUGGUCUGAGAGGAUGACCAGCCACACUGGAACUGAGACACGGUCCAGACUCCUACGGGAGGCAGCAGUGGGGAAUAUUGCACAAUGGGGGGAACCCUGAUGCAGCCAUGCCGCGUGUAUGAAGAAGGCCUUCGGGUUGUAAAGUACUUUCGGUAGUGAGGAAGGUGGUGUAUCUAAUAGGUGCAUCAAUUGACGUUAAUUACAGAAGAAGCACCGGCUAACUCCGUGCCAGCAGCCGCGGUAAUACGGAGGGUGCGAGCGUUAAUCGGAAUGACUGGGCGUAAAGGGCAUGUAGGCGGAUAAUUAAGUUAGGUGUGAAAGCCCUGGGCUCAACCUAGGAAUUGCACUUAAAACUGGUUAUCUGGAGUAUUGUAGAGGAAGGUAGAAUUCCACGUGUAGCGGUGAAAUGCGUAGAGAUGUGGAGGAAUACCGGUGGCGAAGGCGGCCUUCUGGACAGAUACUGACGCUGAGAUGCGAAAGCGUGGGGAGC